AUUGAACGCUGGCGGCAUGCCUUACACAUGCAAGUCGAGCGGCAGCGCGGACUUCGGUCUGGCGGCGAGUGGCGAACGGGUGAGUAAUACAUCGGAACGUACCCUGUUGUGGGGGAUAACUAGUCGAAAGAUUAGCUAAUACCGCAUACGACCUGAGGGUGAAAGUGGGGGACCGCAAGGCCUCACGCAGCAGGAGCGGCCGAUGUCUGAUUAGCUAGUUGGUGGGGUAAAGGCCCACCAAGGCGACGAUCAGUAGCUAGUCUGAGAGGACGAUCAGCCACACUGGGACUGAGACACGGCCCAGACUCCUACGGGAGGCAGCAGUGGGGAAUUUUGGACAAUGGGGGCAACCCUGAUCCAGCAAUGCCGCGUGUGUGAAGAAGGCCUUCGGGUUGUAAAGCACUUUUGUCCGGAAAGAAAUCGCGCUGGUUAAUACCUGGCGUGGAUGACGGUACCGGAAGAAUAAGCACCGGCUAACUACGUG
rnacentral:rRNA from 1 species